GCCAUACUCAAAAUGGAGGCCCUAUCUAAGCUUUUAAGUGGAAAGUGCUUCCCUUUUGUGUGUUGC
rfam:Mus musculus chromosome 7, GRC primary reference assembly.